AGCAGCCGCGGUAAUUCCAGCUCCAAUAGCGUAUAUUAAAGUUGUUGCAGUUAAAAAGCUCGUAGUUGAAUUUCGGGGUUAGUAGGUUGGUCAUGCCUCUGGUAUGUACUGGUCUCACUGAUUCCUCCUUCCUGAUGAACCUUAAUGCCAUUUAUUUGGUGUUUUGGGGAAUUUGGACUGUUACUUUGAAAAAAUUAGAGUGUUUAAAGCAAGCUAACGCUUGAAUACAUUAGCAUGGAAUAAUGAAAUAGGACGUUCGAUCCUAUUUUGUUGGUUUCUAGGAUUGACGUAAUGAUUAAUAGGGAUAGUUGGGGGCAUUAGUAUUCAAUUGUCAGAGGUGAAAUUCUUGGAUUUAUUGAAGACUAACUACUGCGAAAGCAUUUGCCAAGGAUGUUUUCAUUAAUCAAGAACGAAAGUUAGGGGAUCGAAGACGAUCAGAUACCGUCGUAGUCUUAACCAUAAACUAUGCCGACUAGGGAUCGGAUGAUGUUAAUUUUUUCAAUGACUCAUUCGGCGCCUU
rnacentral:rRNA from 1 species